GAGUUUGAUCAUGGCUCAGAUUGAACGCUGGCGGCAUGCCUUACACAUGCAAGUCGAACGGCAGCACGGGAGCUUGCUCCUGGUGGCGAGUGGCGAACGGGUGAGUAAUGCAUCGGAACGUAUCCUGGAGUGGGGGAUAACGUGGCGAAAGUUACGCUAAUACCGCAUAUUCUGUGAGCAGGAAAGCGGGGGACCUUCGGGCCUCGCGCUCUUGGAGCGGCCGAUGUCGGAUUAGCUAGUUGGUGAGGUAAAGGCUCACCAAGGCGACGAUCCGUAGCAGGUCUGAGAGGAUGAUCUGCCACACUGGAACUGAGACACGGUCCAGACUCCUACGGGAGGCAGCAGUGGGAAUUUUGGACAAUGGGGGCAACCCUGAUCCAGCCAUGCCGCGUGAGUGAAG
rnacentral:rRNA from 1 species